GAUUUUUAAGUUAGUAAGUUAUCUUGUUUGUACUCAAUACAGAGAAGAUUAGGAUGGCCCCUGCGCAAGGAUGACACGCAAAAUCGUGAAGCGUUCCACAUUUUU